AGCGGCGGACGGGUGAGUAACGCGUGGGUAACCUGCCCUAUACACACGGAUAACAUACCGAAAGGUAUGCUAAUACGAGAUAAUGUAAGAGAUUCACAUGGAUUUCUUAUCAAAGCUGAGGCGGUAUAGGAUGGACCCGCGUCUGAUUAGCUAGUUGGUAAGGUAACGGCUUACCAAGGCGACGAUCAGUAGCCGACCUGAGAGGGUGAUCGGCCACAUUGGAACUGAGACACGGUCCAAACUCCUACGGGAGGCAGCAGUGGGGAAUAUUGCACAAUGGGCGAAAGCCUGAUGCAGCAACGCCGCGUGAGUGAUGAAGGCCUUCGGGUCGUAAAACUCUGUCCUCAAGGAAGAUAAUGACGGUACAUGAGGAGGAAGCCCCGGCUAACUACGUGCCAGCAGCCGCGGUAAUACGUAGGGGGCUAGCGUUAUCCGGAUUUACUGGGCGUAAAGGGUGCGUAGGUGGUCUCUUAAGUCAGGAGUGAAAGGCUACGGCUUAACCGUAGUAAGCUCUUGAAACUGGGAGACUUGAGUGCAGGAGAGGAAAGUGGAAUUCCUAGUGUAGCGGUGAAAUGCGUAGAUAUUAGGAGGAACACCAGUAGCGAAGGCGGCUUUCUGGACUGUAACUGACACUGAGGCACGAAAGCGUGGGGAGCAAACAGGAUUAGAUACCCUGGUAGUCCACGCCGUAAACGAUGAGUACUAGGUGU
rnacentral:rRNA from 1 species